rnacentral:rRNA from 1 species
UACGUAGGGGGGCAAGCGUUGUCCGGAAUUAUUGGGCGUAAAGCGCGUGUAGGCGGCCAGAAAAGUCCGCUGUGAAAACUCGAGGCUUAACCUCGAGAUGUCAUCGGAAACCAUCUGGCUAGAGUCCGGAAGAGGAGAGUGGAAUUCCUGGUGUAGCGGUGAAAUGCGCAGAUAUCAGGAAGAACACCAAUGGCGAAAGCAGCUCUCUGGGACGGUACUAACGCUGAGACGCGAAAGCGUGGGGAGCGAACAGG